rnacentral:rRNA from 1 species
GAUGAACGCUAGCUACAGGCUUAACACAUGCAAGUCGAGGGGAAACGAUAUUGGAAGCUUGCUUCCGAUAGGCGUCGACCGGCGCACGGGUGAGUAACGCGUAUCCAACCUGCCCAUCACUUGGGGAUAACCUUGCGAAAGUAAGACUAAUACCCAAUGACGUCUCUAGAAGACAUCUGAAAGAGAUUAAAGAUUUAUCGGUGAUGGAUGGGGAUGCGUCUGAUUAGCUUGUUGGCGGGGUAACGGCCCACCAAGGCGACGAUCAGUAGGGGUUCUGAGAGGAACGUCCCCCACAUUGGAACUGAGACACGGUCCAAACUCCUACGGGAGGCAGCAGUGAGGAAUAUUGGUCAAUGGGCGAGAGCCUGAACCAGCCAAGUAGCGUGCAGGAUGACGGCCCUAUGGGUUGUAAACUGCUUUUAUAAGGGAAUAAAGUGAGCCACGUGUGGCUUUUUGCAUGUACCUUAUGGAUAAGGACCGGCUAAUUCCGUGCCAGCCGCCGCAGUAA